rnacentral:rRNA from 1 species
CCUACGGGGGGCAGCAGUGGGGAAUAUUGGGCAAUGGGCGCAAGCCUGACCCAGCAACGCCGCGUGAAGGAAGAAGGCUUUCGGGUUGUAAACUUCUUUUAAGAGGGAAGAGCAGAAGACGGUACCUCUUGAAUAAGCCACGGCUAACUACGUGCCAGCAGCCGCGGUAAUACGUAGGUGGCAAGCGUUGUCCGGAUUUACUGGGUGUAAAGGGUGCGUAGGCGGCCUGCUAAGUCUGGAGUGAAAGGUACCGGCUCAACCGGUACAGGCUCUGGAAACUGGCGGGCUAGAGAGCAGGAGAGGGCGGUGGAACUCCAGGUGUAGCGGUAAAAUGCGUAGAUAUAUGGAAGAACACCAGUGGCGAAGGCGGCCGCCUGGCCUGUUACUGACGCUGAGGCACGAAAGCGUGGGGAGCAAAUAGGAUUAGAUACCCUUGUAGUC